GACGAACGCUGGCGGCGUGCUUAACACAUGCAAGUCGAACGGUAAGGCCCUUCGGGGUACACGAGUGGCGAACGGGUGAGUAACACGUGGGUGAUCUGCCCUGCACUUCGGGAUAAGCCUGGGAAACUGGGUCUAAUACCGGAUAGGACUCCGGACUGCAUGGUCUGGGGUGGAAAGCUUUUGCGGGGUGGGAUGGGCCCGCGGCCUAUCAGCUUGUUGGUGGGGUGAUGGCCUACCAAGGCGACGACGGGUAGCCGGCCUGAGAGUGUGACCGGCCACACUGGGAGUUGAAUACGGCCCAGACUCCUACGGGAGGCAGCAGAGGGGAAGAUUGCACAAUGGGCGCAAGCCUGAUGCAGCGACGCCGCGUGAGGGAUGACGGCCUUCGGGUUGUAAACCUCUUUCAGCAUCGACGAAGCGAAAGUGACGGUAGGUGCAGAAGAAGGACCGGCCAACUACGUGCCAGCCGCCGCGGUAA
rnacentral:rRNA from 1 species